AUUGAACGCUGGCGGCAGGCCUAACACAUGCAAGUCGAACGGUAACAGGAAGCAGCUUGCUGCUUUGCUGACGAGUGGCGGACGGGUGAGUUAUGUCUGGGAAACUGCCUGAUGGAGGGGGAUAACUACUGGAAACGGUAGCUAAUACCGCAUAACGUCGCAAGACCAAAGAGGGGGACCUUAGGGCCUCUUGCCAUCGGAUGUGCCCAGAUGGGAUUAGCUAGUAGGUGGGGUAACGGCUCACCUAGGCGACGAUCCCUAGCUGGUCUGAGAGGAUGACCAGCCACACUGGAACUGAGACACGGUCCAGACUCCUACGGGAGGCAGCAGUGGGGAAUAUUGCACAAUGGGCGCAAGCCUGAUGCAGCCAUGCCGCGUGUAUGAAGAAGGCCUUCGGGUUGUAAAGUACUUUCAGCGGGGAGGAAGGGAGUAAAGUUAAUACCUUUGCUCAUUGACGUUACCCGCAGAAGAAGCACCGGCUAACUCCGUG
rnacentral:rRNA from 1 species